UUAUAUUUCCUUUGCUGACUUUUCUCCACCACACUGCAUAACACCUCAUCUGCAAGUGCCAAGUCUAGAUCAACAAUGGCAUUGUUUUUCAUCUCAUUCCACUUGUCAUCAUCAGUCAUCUCUAUGGGCCUUUUUUCAAUUGCUGCCAAACAAUUAUUUUUCCUCAAUACAGCCUUCAUCUUCAUUUUCCAUAACGAGAAAUUAUUUCUUUUGAACUUCUUAAUUUCGUAUUUUUCCACCAUCGGUUUUCACCAUGAACUACCUUUACUAGAAUCGGCUCCCACCAUUUC
rnacentral:lncRNA from 1 species